rnacentral:rRNA from 1 species
CGCCUCUUGCAAAACUAAUGAAUAAGAGGUCCCGCCUGCCCUGUGACUAUAUGUUUAACGGCCGCGGUAUUUUGACCGUGCGAAGGUAGCGUAAUCACUUGUCUUUUAAAUGGAGACCUGUAUGAAUGGCAUAACGAGGGCUUAACUGUCUCCUCUUUCAAGUCAAUGAAAUUGAUCUUCCCGUGCAGAAGCGGGAAUAGCAUCAUAAGACGAGAAGACCCUAUGGAGCUUUAGAUACAAGGCAGAUCAUGUCAAACACCCUUCUACAAAAGGAUAAAACUAGAUGAAUACUGCCCUAAUGUCUUUGGUUGGGGCGACCGCGGCGAAAUAAAAAACCCCCGCGUGGAAAGAGGGCACCCUGCCCUCCAAACCAAGAGCUCCCGCUCUAAUAAACAGAAUAUCUGACCUAUAAGAUCCGGCAAUGCCGAUCAACGGACCGAGUUACCCUAGGGAUAACAGCGCAAUCCCCUUCUAGAGUCCAUAUCGACAAGGGGGCUUACGACCUCGAUGUUGGAUCAGGACAUCCUAAUGGUGCAGCCGCUAUUAAGGGUUCGUUUGUUCAACGAUUAAAGUCCU